rnacentral:rRNA from 1 species
GUGGGGAAUUUUGGACAAUGGGGGCAACCCUGAUCCAGCCAUGCCGCGUGCAGGAUGAAGGCCUUCGGGUUGUAAACUGCUUUUGUCAGGGACGAAAAGGACCGUGUUAAUACCAUGGUCUGCUGACGGUACCUGAAGAAUAAGCACCGGCUAACUACGUGCCAGCAGCCGCGGUAAUACGUAGGGUGCAAGCGUUAAUCGGAAUUACUGGGCGUAAAGCGUGCGCAGGCGGUUCUGUAAGACAGAUGUGAAAUCCCCGGGCUUAACCUGGGAAUUGCAUUUGUGACUGCAGGACUAGAGUUCAUCAGAGGGGGGUGGAAUUCCAAGUGUAGCAGUGAAAUGCGUAGAUAUUUGGAAGAACACCAAUGGCGAAGGCAGCCCCCUGGGAUGCGACUGACGCUCAUGCACGAAAGCGUGGGGAGCAAACAGGA